rnacentral:lncRNA from 1 species
AACAGGAAGCUUUGAGUGAUCUCAAGGAACAAUGUUUAGCUUUUGGUAAAUCCCAGAAGAGAGAUCUUACAAGGUGGCUUUUCACUUUAAUUUGUCUCGAGAGAUCCUCUCCAUCUUCGAUCCUUUACUUUCUGGCUUGCUCCCAGACUUUGCCUUUAAAUAAUUCAGCUUUCAGGCUUAAGAAGGUCUCAAUUGGCUCUUGGUGGGGAGAGAAUACCAAGAACUACUACUAAAUUUGAUUCUGGUGCCGGAGCAGAUCCAGGAACUGCCAUAUUUAGAUGCACAACUGAAAGAAGAUUAAGAAAUAAGAUCUAUAAGGACAAUAGAAAGAUUGUGAUGCAAAUUAAAGGGAAUGAAACCUUGAUGAUUAAGAAUGGAAAGACCUCCGGAUACAGGGACUACUCCAAGCUCUCUGGAUCCGAAGCAAUGGAAUGUAGUUCUGCCACACAAUUAGAACCAUGCAACUUGUGUGCACCGCAAGCCCAUUUCCCAAGGGAAGAGAAGACAGCAAGCACCAAAGAAACACUGCAUCUGGGACCAGAGUCCUCGUUGCUUAAAUCCUUAGGAGGGAGGCCCUAGACCCGGUCAAGGAAAGCGGAAAAGCGAAAGGCAAGGGGACACGAUCUCUGUUGCUUUGGG